GACGAACGCUGGCGGCGUGCUUAACACAUGCAAGUCGAACGGAAAGGCCCUGCUUUUGUGGGGUGCUCGAGUGGCGAACGGGUGAGUAACACGUGAGUAACCUGCCCUUGACUUUGGUAUAACUUCAGGAAACUGGGGCUAAUACCGGAUAGGAGCUCCUGCUGCAUGGUGGGGGUUGGAAAGUUUCGGCGGUUGGGGAUGGACUCGCGGCUUAUCAGCUUGUUGGUGGGGUAGUGGCUUACCAAGGCUUUGACGGGUAGCCGGCCUGAGAGGGUGACCGGCAACAUUGGGACUGAGAUACGGCCCAGACUGCUAAGGGAGGCAGCAGUGGGGAAUAUUGCACAAUGGGCGGAAGCCUGAUGCAGCAACGCCGCGUGCGGGAUGACGGCCUUCGGGUUGUAAACCGCUUUCGCCUGUGACGAAGCGUGAGUGACGGUAAUGGGUAAAGAAGCACCGGCUAACUACGUG
rnacentral:rRNA from 1 species